CCAGCUGCUCAGUCCCCGGCAGAGGCGGGAGCGGCGACGGCAGCGAGCGGGAGGAGCGAGCGCGCGUCCGGAGAGAAGAAAGAGCCGGCUGCCGAGGGCCGCGCCCGCUCCCCGCGCCCAGGCCGGGGCUGAGGUGCCCACCAAGGCAGGAUGGACUUUAAGUUAAAGGAGAAACAGUCUUGGAUCAUGUGGUGUUCUGGUUCAACUGUGCUGACCGGCAGGUGAAGACACGCCGAUCCCCCUUCUCCCUCUGGGAUCUGGCAGGACAGAAUCUCAGAACUGCACUGCCUGCUCACAGGUCAAUGCUGCCUCUCGGCACAGAGAGAAACUUCCAGGGAUUCAGGUAAAAGGCACGCUGCCCUUUGAACAUCUGGAAGUGGACUUCACUGAAAUGAAACCUCACCGACACUACCAUUACCUGCUGGUCAUAGUAUGUACGUUCUCGGGAUGGGUAGAAGCUUUUCCUACUCAGACUGAAAGAGCAUCAGAAGUAGCCUGGUGCCUGCUUAGGGAGAUAGUUCACAGAUUUGGAUUUCCUACCAGCAUUGGAUCUGACAAUGGCCCGGCUUUCGUAGCUGAUUUAGUAUAACAAGUAAGCAAAACUUUAAACAUCAAGUGGAAAUUACAUACAGCAUAUAGGCCCCAGAGUUCUGGGAUGGUGGAAGGAACCAACUGGACACUUAAAGUGACUCUCCAAGUGGAUCUUAGAGAUUGACUGCUCCUGGGUGGACCUGUUUCCGACUCAGGAUGAGUCAGGAUGACCCCACGGUCCCAUGGCUCUUCUCCAUACAAAAUUGUGUAUGGGAGGACCCCUCCCAUAAUAAAACAGGUGUCAACAAAUUUGCCUCAGGUAAGGGGAGAUGAGAUUUCACAGCAGAUGGAACAACCGGGUGAGGUAAUAAAUCAGGUAACUAAGUUUGUACAAGAAAGGGUGCCAUUUCCCCUUGGGGAACAGAUUCAUGAAUUUGUGCCCGGGGAUCAGGUAUGGUCAAGGACUGGAAACACAACUCCUCGGCCCCACACUGGAAGGGUCCAUAUACUGUUGUUCUAACCAGCCCGACUGUAGUUAAAGCUGCAGGUGUCACCCCCUGGAUCCACCACAGGAGGGUGAAGAGAGCAUACCACGCAGACCCCGAGGACACCGAGUGGACUACACAAAAGGACCCCACUGAUCCCCGUGAAACCAAGAUCAUCUCAAAGAAGAAAAAGAGAUGAAGCUCUACAAUCAACUGCUGCUAAAGGACUUGCUGGUAUCAUCGAGACUAACCAUAGUUUCAGUAUAAAUAGGGACCUGUGCUAUAAUUAAAGUUGAAUGUUGUGUAUAUAUUCCUGAUUUAUCUGGCUAUAUAUCAGCCACCCUGAUGACAUGAAAGGUCAGAUAAAAGUUAUGUCUGAUGAUAAUCUUCCUUUUUGGACUUCGGUCCUAUUUUGAGUGAAGGGUGAUUGGUAGAAAACUAUAUUUACCAUUGUUAUAGUUGCCUUGAUCUGCUUUGUGGACCCUUUAUUUUACAAUGUAUUAUGAACUUUGUAACCCAAAGGUUGAUGUCAUUCUCCCAAAUUGGAGGUAGGAGAGUCAGAGUGCAAUAUAUCCCUAUGAAUGAUGCUCAUACUAUGAGUUAAGAGCAUCAAGUGGGGGGAAUGAAGGAGGAAACAGACAGAACAGGCUCCAUCUUGAAAGCAGGACUCCAUCUUGGGCCAGACUG